GUCCCUUUUGGUACAUCCGAUAAAAUUGGAACGAUACAGCGAAGAUCAACAUAACCCCUGCAUAAGGAUGAUACACACAAAUCGAGAAAUGAUCCAAAUUUUC
rfam:Nicotiana attenuata strain TT chromosome 10, whole genome shotgun sequence.